rnacentral:piRNA from 1 species
UAGUUGGUGCACUUACACUGGGCUUCCUGC